rnacentral:siRNA from 1 species
UCAUUCGGGGGAUACGACACU